ACACAAGAUUUUGAGUCUGGUUGCCAAAAUUUCACAAGAAAAGGUUCAUUUGGCAUCUGAUCUUUUAAAACCAGUCCAUGAGAUUUGCAUUAUAAACACAUAAUUCAGUAAUCUGUGAGAUACUGAGACAGCCUCCGAAUAAACCAAAAGCUGUGUCCACAAGAUGCUUAAUAGAAAAACAAAAUGCCAGAACAGGUCAAUCUAGUUCCAGGUAGCAUUACAUAGAAGAGUUUCGAACAGAAUUUGAUGCACUAAUAAUGACACAGUCUCAGCAGCCUCAGCAACCUGUUAGAACAUUGAACAAACAUCAUUAGAUACGUUGAAAUGAAAAAAGAUACACAAAAAAGAGAAGAAAAAUGUCACCACAAUAAAUAGUAGAACAACUAGAAACUGGUUUUCCACUUCUCAAUGCUGCUCUGCACAUAGUAUCACCACAACUCUACACAAUCUUCUUCCCGUUUUGAAUAAAGUAGGGCUCUCAACCACUAUCUCCAACAUAAAUCAGACCAGUAAAUCCAUUUUCCUUUUCCUGGUCCAAGAACUUCCACAAGAAAAAGACUUCAGGCCUCCAAAUGUGUAUUUAUAUGCUCUAUGGUGAACAAGUUCCUGCUACAUGACAAUUAAAGACGAAAUUUGCCAUCCUAAACGCAGCAAUUGUUUAACACCAAAACACAUGCAAUUUGCUGUAACAGAGUGGACAACUAUGUUAGUUCUUUAAUCAUCUAAAAUCAGGAUAAAGGGACACUUCUAAAGAGUUGGAUACUGGUACUUAGGUAUGAUGGACAUUCUAGGAAAUAUACAAAUUAUGUACAUCGAUUGUUGUUUACUUGUUAACGAACAGGGCCAUUUUGCCGUGGGAGCUUUUCAGAUUUCAUUUAUACAAGGGAAAUUCAGAAUUUUAGAUAGGUCUUCUGUCUCUCUAACAUGAAAGUCCUAAAGUUUUCCACUUCACUUCUCUCCUCCCCCUUCACCAUCAACAUCCACUGACAAAAAAGAAAGUACCCAAAAAAUUGUUGAAGUGCCCCAAAUGGAUCCCAUACCAGUACCAGUGUCAAGUUAUGUCGACACAGGCACACUGGGGUAAAACAAAAAGCUGGAGUAACAUAGGUGGAAGGGUGAUUUUCAGGUAGCUAAUCUGUUAGUGUCACCAGUUUGACAAGCAUGGUGCAGCUUAUACCCAUUAUGGCGACAAUGGCUUUCACCCUGACAAAAUUAUAAAUAACUCGAUGACCAUGUCUUGGAAAAUCUUUUGCAUUGCUUGGGCCUCCAAGAAAGAUAGAUGGUGAGAGUGAUAGCUGGAAAUUUCAAUCACAUAAUAAAGCUCACUUCUCUCUUCCUUUCUAUCUGGAUCGGAAGAAUCAAAUCCCUACGCCACGGAACUGGUCAUGAAAAAAUGAAUGUAUAUUAGGAACCACAUAUACCCCUCAUCUCAACACACAUGAUUUAUUUCUACAGCCAAGCCCCACAAAAACUUUGGUUUUAAGAGGACAGAAAGCAAACUCCUACAAAAAAAGGUUUCAAGAUUAUAAUCGUGUUUGAAGUUACUGAAGACAAGAGUGACGAAUCCAGCUAAAGCUUUUCUGAAUAAUGCCAUCAGCGAAACCUCUUCAAACAGGCUUGAGUAUCAUUCUUCAACGCAAUUAUAGCUACCAAACCAGUAACACGCCAACUUGCACUCACAGCAGUUUUGUUACCAGAAAGUAGCCAGUAGGGUUUCAGACUUCAAUAACAGUACAAGAGCUGCUAAAACACUAUGCAAUGAAAGUAGCUAAUAAGCAACUGUUAAGAAUUGAACUUUGUUCCAACCUCGAAAGGAAAAGAUAUCAGAAAUUAUACUAGUCAACAACUGUUAUUUGCCUUUAUCUCUCUCUGCCCCUAACUCAAGCAUACUUCCCAUUCAACUGAAGUUCAAACUCAAUAAAAGCCCAGAUUCCAAGGACUACAGCUUAUUGUUAAAUGUGAGUAUUAUCCUCGGCUAUCUUUUCUCUGGAAAAGCUGUUUAAUCAGAUUCUUUCCUAGCUGGGGAUACAACAAUGUAUCUCUACAUGCCCCUUGGAAGAGAACUUUUGGCUACAAACUUCAAUAGGCUACAACUGUUUUCAAGCUUAGAUCCACUACAUGGAUAAUUUCCUAUUUCUUUUUUUUUUUCAAGUCCUUUUGCCCAGUAUCAAGUGAAAAAUGAGGCUCAUAGAAGAAAUGAAAGCUGUAACUGGGCAAAUCUUGGUGGUAUUGACCAGAACCAACUACUAAAGCACCCCAAAUCUCAUGGUUUUUUGUUCAUGUGAGCAGUUGCACUUAUAGCCAGUUUGUCACAUAUCACAUAGUCUACUCACUUAAUAUGACUGAAAAAGCAGUGCUCUUAACAAAAAAGAAGUCAUCAAUUUAGCUUCAUGAGGUUUUGAUCGAUGCUUUGACAGAAUUUGGUAAACAUUCAGGUACAAAUGAAAAAACCUAAUAUACUGCAGGUGAACUAAGUUAUUAUCUAGUACAAAGGCACUACAUUUGCAAUCUUUUCCAUUACAACAGAAUGAUUAGCUUCAAUACUUCUGAGGUACAAAAUUAUCAAAAUUUGUUCAGUUGACAACAGAAAACUAAUCAGGCCAUUAUAGUUCGCACAUCUAGAAACAACUUUGGGAGUUAGACGUAAUAUCAAUGAACAUUCAAAGGUAGCAAAAAGCUAAUCACAGAUCCACACAAAGCAAAGGUUGCAAAAAGCUAAUCACAGAUCCACACAAGUUCAUAUACAUUGUCUCUAAAGUGGCACUAUUCUUUGCCUACCAACUGACCAAAGGUUGCAAAACUAUGGCAUCCUGCAGUUAACUUUAUGCCAAUUAUUUUGUGGUUUAGGAACUGUUUAACUUUAUCCAUUGAAUAGAACAGGAAUGCUCUCAGUUUUAAAAAAGGAUUACUUUGAUUCAGAUCUUCAGGGCAGCUAAAUUCUAAGACCAAUAGACCUACACAUGAUCAUCUUCAACUACGGACUCAUCUCCUAUAAACUAAAUCAUCUUGAACAAAACAUUUAACCGGUAAAAACUCUGAAAUAUCUAAUCUAAUCACCACAUGUUGCCCUUUAACCGAUAAUCAACGAACUUCUUGGCUGUCUCUUGACUAGGUCCCCCAUUGUGCAGAAUCCUUCAUUUCAACCAAAAAGAGGACCUUGAGCGUCCAACUUAUUUUGGGUGACAAAAACCAUGGGGAGCCUUUUGGCCCAUCCUCCUCCCCACUCUACUGCAGGACCCAACCUGAAUCUGAAAAACAGCCAGUACCCCAGGACAGCACUCUGAUGCAGAAUUCCAAACCUCAAAUUAUCAAAUAAAACCUACAACCUUAAACAGAAACCAAAGCUUCCCUGACAUAAGUGAGAAAAAUCCACAAGUGCAAGAGAUAAUAUUUCAUGCAUUAUGGAAUCAAUAUUUUCUUUCCAGUCAAAAUGUUUAACAGAGAACAGCUAUUGCUUCAUCCAUCAAAUGCAUAAUCAGUUCAAUGAACAUCCAACUCUGGUAAUAAGUCUAUUACUAUUAAGUUGAAAAAAAAUCAAAAUACUGAUGUGCUAAAUCACUCCAACCCCCUGUUUCCAUCAAAUGCUAAAUCAUUCCAACCAUUACCCAAAAGUUGAUAAUAAGUUCACCAAUAAACCAGAAAAAAAAAGGGGGAAAGAAAAGUAGAUCCUAAACAACCAGUCAAACACUUGAGCAAGCAUUAAGCCAUUUGCCAUUUGAAACACCAUACACGCUGCCUGACAAACCUCUUAGCUCAAAAAUAAAGAACUGCAAAAGAAAACCACUACUCAAAGCCUCAUCAAACUAAAACAUCUUAUAUCACCAACAGAAAAUUUAGCUAAUAGGCCAUACUGGAAUAAGAAGUGCAAAACAAAUUUGGAUUGCGGUUUAUUUGUCAAAAUAUAUUUGCUUACAUUAUCAUUACAAUUUCCAACACACCUUUUUAUCUUUCCAAUUACCUUUUUAUCUCACAUACAUCACAUCACAAAAAGUGCUACAGUAAAAAUAUCUCUAAUAAUUCACAAUCCAAACAAACCUAAACUUUCACAACUUUUGCGAAAAAAUCUACAAGCACAAUGUUGGAAAUAAUGCGUUCAACGCAUAUGAAUCUCAAUAUCCAGAGACAGACAUUGAAAGAAUCGAAGCACGCAAAGGAGAAUUACCAAGGCAAAUCAACAAAACUGAAGCAAAACUCCAACCAACAAAAGUGAGGUACAAAAGAAGGAUAUAAGCUUUAUCACAAAAGAACCACAUAAAUAAGCAAUGCAACACUCUUUAACAGAUACUGAAAUUCACUAAGAAACUCAUAAGCUUGAAUUAAACCACAUUCGAUUGAAGAAAAAUCCUUGAUUAAUAUUCCCUCUGUUCUAUUGACACUGUCAUAUUUUGCUUUUUAGGUUGUCCCAAAAUAUUUGUAACUUACAUAAAUUGGCUAACACAUUUGCAUUCAAUUCCUCCAUUUGCCGUUCAAACACUCCCUAAAAGUCCAAUGCAUGUGUCUUUUCAUGAGCCCACAGAUUAUCACCAACGAAACUAAGACUUCGUUUGAAGUACGCGCUAAUUGGCUUUAAGAAGCUAAAGCCAUUAAGUGUUCUGAUGCACGCGCUAGUUGGCAAUCAUAUCUGGGAUUGGACAAACAUCAUGGCUCCACAAUAAUUCUUUAUGUCUUAAUACAACACUUAAAGCUCUUCAUGGGGGUGAAACGAGAAACUACAGCAUCAAUUUUCAAAUUCUAUCCACUCUUCAUAAAAAUUACAGUUCCCGAAGUGCGAUAAAUUUUAUGGGAUGAAUACCAAAACUGUCAUUAAAUUGUCUAUCAUACGAGUCAUUAGCUCAUAAAUUGCAAGCACUUCAACCAAAAAUUACAUUUCUAUGCCAAAAACCCCAUUCAGAGAUAACCUUAAGCUGUCAAACAUAGAGAUUAUAAAUCCUAAAGACUGUCAAUUCAAAAAACUAAAGCAAACCCACUUAAUAAAACCUAUCCAACAGUCACCCAAGAAAAAAAAUUUUAUUUACCUUCCCUAAGAUUAAACCAAAUAAAACUUGAAACCCAGAAAAAUGUCAAAAAGCCUCCAAAAAAUCCCAGGAAAAUUAUCCAAAAUAGAAGUCAAAGAAAAAACUAAAAAAUAAUUACCUUUAGAUCAAGCAUUUGGCAGUUUGAGGAAUAGGCUGCGCCGCUGGGGAGCCGUGUUUUUGUUGGGCUUCGGCUUCCGGGAUCUUCUGCAUCCGUUCCAUGACAAGCUCGUACACUCUCUUCUUACCUGCUUGAUUGAUUAACAAAUUGAUAAGACCGAAACAAGUAAUCUAUGUGGAUAUGCCACUCAUAUUCUCUGCCUGAUCAAUUAUACAUGUAAACAAAAUUCACGGCUUGAGGUAAAGCAAAAAUAGUCGGCCUUGUUUGGAUUCCCAUUUCUUCCCAAAAAAUUUUACACUUUGCGAUAAUGCAUCUUUCAAUCACUUUUUUUACCUCAUAUCAUAUCGUUACAAUAUUUUUUUAACAGAAACUCCAGAAAAUAGUAUCCAGACGGGCUAUUUGCGAUCUCAAAAGCAGCAGUCAAAAUGACUGCUGCACUGCCCGACU
rnacentral:lncRNA from 1 species